UGAGGAAUAUUGGACAAUGGAGGAAACUCUGAUCCAGUGACGCCGCGUGAAGGAAGAAGGUCUUCGGAUUGUAAACUUAUUUUGUCAGGGAAGAAAUAAAUGACUGUACCUGAAGAAAAAGCACCGGCUAACUACGUGCCAGCAGCCGCGGUAAUACGGAGGAUGCGAGCGUUAUCCGGAUUUAUUGGGUUUAAAGGGUGCGCAGGCGGCGCGCCAAGUCAGCGGUCAAAGUUCCGGGCUCAACCCGGUGUCGCCGUUGAAACUGGCGUGCUCGAGUGCGUGCGAGGAAGGCGGAAUGCGUUGUGUAGCGGUGAAAUGCAUAGAUAUGACGCAGAACUCCGAUUGCGAAGGCAGCUUUCCAGCGCGCUACUGACGCUGAGGCACGAAAGCG
rnacentral:rRNA from 1 species